rnacentral:tRNA from 1 species
GCGUGGCUGGCUCAGUUGGUAGAGCAUGUGACUUUUGAUCUCGGGGUCAUGAAUUCAAUCCCCAUGUUGGGUG